GAAUUAUAGGGCGUCUACUUGUAGAGCCUGACCUCCACUUCUAACACUGUGCACUUGAUGGCGAGGUAAUUGGGAUAAGGCUUUCGAGCUUUUGAACGAGAACCUUGCGGCUUCAUUUUAAACAUUAGUCAAAGUAUGUAAUGAAAUUAAAAACAAAAAAAAACUUUCAACAACGGAUCUCUUGGCUCU
rnacentral:misc_RNA from 1 species